rnacentral:sRNA from 1 species
GACUACGAGAAAGCCUUUGAUUCGAUU